UACGUAGGGUGCAAGCGUUAAUCGGAAUUACUGGGCGUAAAGCGUGCGCAGGCGGUUGUGCAAGACGGAUGUGAAAUCCCCGGGCUCAACCUGGGAAUUGCAUUUGUGACUGCACGGCUAGAGUGUGUCAGAGGGGGGUAGAAUUCCACGUGUAGCAGUGAAAUGCGUAGAGAUGUGGAGGAAUACCGAUGGCGAAGGCAGCCCCCUGGGAUAACACUGACGCU
rnacentral:rRNA from 1 species